rnacentral:rRNA from 1 species
UACAGAGGUCCCAAGCGUUGUUCGGAUUCACUGGGCGUAAAGGGUGCGUAGGCGGUCGGGUAAGUCUGAUGUGAAAUCUCACAGCUUAACUGUGAAACUGCAUUGGAUACUAUCCGGCUCGAGGAAUGGAGGGGAGACUGGAAUACUUGGUGUAGCAGUGAAAUGCGUAGAUAUCAAGUGGAACACCAGUGGCGAAGGCGAGUCUCUGGACAUUUCCUGACGCUGAGGCACGAAAGCCAGGGGAGGCAAACGGG